GGGGCAUUAGCGCAGUUGGGAGCGCGCCACAUUCGCAUUGUGGAGGCCACGGGUUCGAAUCCCGUAUGCUCCA
rfam:Lachnoclostridium sp. An118 An118_contig_8, whole genome shotgun sequence.